rnacentral:snRNA from 1 species
GUGCUCACUUCAGCAGCAUCUAUACUGAAAUUGGAACGAUACGGAGAAGGCUAGCGUGGCCCCUGCACAAGGAUGACAUGCAAAUUUGUGAAACAUUCCAUAUUUUG